UAUUACAGGUUUCUGACCUUCCAUGUGUAUGCUGGCUUUAUAGAAAAUAUGGUAUGGUGUUACAUGAUAAAUUCUUAAAGCAACCAUGUAUAAUCUUAAUUUUAGAUAUGGGAGCCAAACAGAAUGUGUGGAUGGAUCGUCCCCUGACACUUAUAACCCUAAUUUACAAGGCAGCAACACAAGAUGUGAAGAACAUGUGGCUUGGAUCAAUGUUCCUGCCAAGUGGAAAAUGAAUGUGUAUUCCCUACUCUUUGCAAGAAGACUGAGACUAGAAAUGGUAGCAAUGAAGGAAUAA
rnacentral:lncRNA from 1 species